AACUCCCAUACCAUCUGUUAACCUACCCAGUUAUGCCUCGGCGUAAGCUCGGUUGGAGGCACCUGCAGCUACCCUGUAGUUGCGGACUGCCAACUCCAGCCGCGGCCCGCCGGCGGUACACUAAACUCUGUUUUAUUUUAUAUUCUGAGCGUCUUAUUUUAAUAAGUUAAAACUUUCAACAACGGAUCUCUUGGUUCUGGCAUCGAUGAAGAACGCAGCGAAAUGCGAUAAGUAAUGUGAAUUGCAGAAUUCAGUGAAUCAUCGAAUCUUUGAACGCACAUUGCGCCCAUCAGUAUUCUGGUGGGCAUGCCUGUUCGAGCGUCAUUUCAACCCUUAAGCCUAGCUUAGUGUUGGGAAUCUGCUGUACUGCAGUUCCUUAAAGACAGUGGCGGAGCGGCGGUAGUCCUCUGAGCGUAGUAAUUUAUUUCUCGCUUUUGUCAGGCUCUGUCCUCCCGCCAUAAAACCCCCAAUUUUUUAGUGGUUGACCUCGGAUCAGGUAGGAAUACCCGCUGAACUUAAGCAUAUCAUAGGCCGGAGGUACGGGGCCUGACUAAAGGCGA
rnacentral:rRNA from 1 species